UUAAGUAAGAACUUUACAUAACCUCUAUUUUUAGGGGUGGAGACUGGGAAGGAGCAAAGGGGGAAGAGAUGGAAACAGGUGUGAAAUGGUUUGAUGCUGUGCAGCAUGGUUGGAGCAGAACACCGGUCUGACCAAGCCCAGUGCCACCACAGCCUGCCCAGUGUUGUCCUGAAAUCCUUCCUUACCGGCCUUAGCGCAGUGUGUGAGAGCUGCAAGGAGCAGAUGCCAGCUCCUGGUGGCCCGAUGUGUGAGCUGUGGGACAGAGCAGAGGCACCAGGGCUGUGGUGUCAGCAGCUGGGGAGAUUGGACAAUUGACAGCUUGGGGACCCCACCAACCAGCCCCAGCUCACUCCUCCUGCUACUAGAGGCAGCGGCAAAGACAGAGCUGCAAACUGAGUGAAAACAGAAAGAGGCAAGGCAGUAGAAGUGGGGGGGGACCACAACACAGGUUACAACCUGAGGAUUACAGUGCUCUGGUGCACAGCAAGCCAUUUUUCUCAUGGGCAAAUGGAUUUUUGUAAGACAACGUGACAUCUGCAAGUUGAGCAUAAAGCUCUCUCUGCAAAAACCUCACCUAGUGGAGAACUUGCUUUUCUGCCUUGGCUCUGGGUGAGUUCCCUGGAAGAAGGCCUGGCUGGCAGGACACCAGCACCAGGCAGCAGUUUCUGGAGGACGCAGUGCUUGGCAUCGUGCUGAUGUUCUCAUUCCAGGGCUGACAAACAGCGCACACAGCCCCCGUGCCACAGGGGCUAGCAGCAGACUAGCAGCAAGGCUGGGCAGCCACUGGGAAAUCCACCUGUGCUGCCAUACACACCUUUAAAAGCCUUAAAAUUACGUGGUCAUCUGUGUAUUAAGUGAGAAAUUCAUCAGAAAUGGAGGGUUUUGCAAACACACAAAACUUGAUCAUGGAAUCAUAGAACGGUUUGGGUUGGAAGGGAGCUUUAAGAUCAUCUCGUUCCAACCCCCCUGCUGUAGGCAGGGACAUCUCCCUCUAGAAGUUUUUUACUGAUUUGUUUCAGAGCCCAUGUACUACCCCAGCUAUAGACCCAUAACCACAGCUUUGGUAACUCCCGCCACCGCGUCCUUCACUUUGUGUUAUAAAAGAAGAGUCAACAAAUAAAAGAAGAAACAACAAAUUCUUCUCA
rnacentral:lncRNA from 1 species